CUACAGAGCCAAAAUCGCGGGCAUCCUACCGCCGGUGAAUGUAGUUCCACAAUAGAGCCCGUAUUUUCACCGUGAAAUAUAGAAGUUCCCCCUUUAUUUUCUACGUGGAGCAAUUUGAGACAGGACGCAGUUCCCACCAUUAAGAUAGUCGUAAUUACUUUAAUUUAUUCGUUGUGACUUCGCAUUUUUGAACGCGCGAGGAAGUCCCACCUUUUUACGUGCACCUCAAACGCUAAGCGGCGUCUGCGUCUACAUGAAACGCUGAUGGUGCGCCCCCGUCACUUUCCAUAGCGUUAGGAGAUGCACGCCAAAACGGACUACUUCGCGUAGUGCUACAUGUGCAGAAGCUCCGCCUCCGUAGCUUUCCAUUCAGUGCCAAGAAAAGUUGUCGCCGAGUAUAGCAGUUAAUUUCGCUCAUCAUUUUUUUGUGUGUAAUAGUUUGCAUUAAUCUAGUCUAAUCAAGAGCCAAUUGUAUCAUUGACCGUUUAUUCAAGUGCAAGCAUCAGCAGCCGAUCUGUCAAACUUUAUUUUCUUUCUUUUUCUGUGGUAAUGUGCUGUGCUUUCCUUUUGUUCAAAAAGUGACAUGAUAGUGCAAUAAUAUUGUACAUUUUUUUUCUUUCCAUCAGUUCUUGCAAAAGUGCUCACGCAGGUUGAGCAUUUAAAAAUGCAGCUUGCUGCACAAAGUGCAGUUCUGACAAGAAUGGGGCACCGCCUAAAUCAAGACACCACAGUUGAAAAUGCCAUGGAUGUAAAUGAAAUGCCCCUCUACCCUGCUACAACAGAGGAAGAAAUUGAGAACACUUGAGGCAAGCCUGGAAAACAGCGUCAUUUUUGCUGCGCUGGUGAAGGAACUGGACCAAAUAGGAGGUUGUGACGUUAGCACGACCACUAAAAGAAUAAUGAAGAGGCUUCUUCAUGACAGUGUAGCUGUACUAUACAGCUAUACUGGAAGAAAAGGCAAACGACCGGCAGCGGAGCUCAACAUUGUUCGUCUUAUAUUUGGUAAGGGGACGCAAAUUUUUUAUGUCCUGGUGUACUUAUUACUCUUUGUGAAAAAAAAAAUAAUGGUCCUGGUUGCUAUGCAUAUUGUUUCCAGCUGAUGUACGUACAACACGCAAGGUAACGGAUGCUGAGAUCAGCCACGUGAUUGGCGAUUGGUUACGCUUUGCCAAUGCAAGGCUUACUGUGUCCAAGGCAAGCAAAACUUAACGUUUAUUAUUUUCCAUCGUAAGCCCAGCUAUCACUCUCUUUGUCCUUGCCACCUUUAGGUUUAUGGCAUAACUUUUUUACAAGCCUUCCUGUGUUCUUUUGUAAGAAAGAGAAGGUGGUAAUGUUUUUACUUACGCUUUCUUUUCAUAAUUAAUCUUACUUAGAGUGUAAUUAUAUAUAUAUUAAGAGCUCAGUUAUGUUCUAUUUUUGAAUCAAAAGAAGAAAAAAUGCAGCACAUACAACAGCUUGUGGUAAUCAGUUUCAUGCGAAGCAGUCUGCGAGUAGUUGUGCUGCAUUUUUUGGCUUUAAAGGGGCUCUGCAACACUUUUUGAGCAUGGUCAGAAAACGCUGCCGAUCGGUAUAGAGGCUCCCGACAACACGCGAGCCAAAUAUUAUAGCGCAGCACCCGGCCUGAAAUUCACAAUAAAUGAUCAAAGACAGCUAAAAAUUGCUUUCUGUUCUCUCGACAAAUCACGGAAGACGCUCAAAAAUCACUCGUAAAAAGCCCAUCUAUCAGCCAUUGGCUGAUUUGAACAUGGCGCGCUCGGUCGUUACAGAGAUUGCCGCGGGAGGCCGCGACUUGUCCACGCGUGCGCG